GAUGAAGAACGUAGCGAAAUGCGAUAAGUAAUGUGAAUUGCAGAAUUCAGUGAAUCAUCGAAUCUUUGAACGCACAUUGCGCCCCCUGGUAUUCUGGGGGGCAUGCCUGUUCGAGCGUCAUUUCACCACUCAAGCCUCGCUUGGUAUUGGGCAACGCGGUCCGCCGCGUGCCUCAAAUCGACCGGCUGGGUCUUCUGUCCCCUAAGCGUUGUGGAAACUAUUCGCUAAAGGGUGUUCGGGAGGCUACGCCGUAAAACAACCCCAUUUCUAAGGUUGACCUCGGAUCAGGUAGGGAUACCCGCUGAACUUAAGCAUAUCAAUAAGCGGAGGA
rnacentral:misc_RNA from 1 species